UCAGCCAUGCCGCGUGUGUGAAGAAGGCCUUUUGGUUGUAAAGCACUUUAAGCGAGGAGGAGGCUACCUAGAUUAAUACUCUUGGAUAGUGGACGUUACUCGCAGAAUAAGCACCGGCUAACUCUGUGCCAGCAGCCGCGGUAAUACAGAGGGUGCAAGCGUUAAUCGGAUUUACUGGGCGUAAAGCGCGCGUAGGUGGCUUAUUAAGUCAAAUGUGAAAUCCCCGAGCUUAACUUGGGAAUUGCAUUCGAUACUGGUUAGCUAGAGUAUGGGAGAGGAUGGUAGAAUUCCAGGUGUAGCGGUGAAAUGCGUAGAGAUCUGGAGGAAUACCGAUGGCGAAGGCAGCCAUCUGGCCUAAUACUGACACUGAGGUGCGAAAGCAUGGGGAGCAAACAGGAUUAGAUACCCUGGUAGUCCAUGCCGUAAACGAUGUCUACUAGCCGUUGGGGCCUUUGAGGCUUUAGUGGCGCAGCUAACGCGAUAAGUAGACCGCCUGGGGAGUACGGUCGCAAGACUAAAACUCAAAUGAAAUUUG
rnacentral:rRNA from 1 species